AUUGAACGCUGGCGGCAGGCCUAACACAUGCAAGUCGAACGGCAGCACAGAAGAGCUUGCUCUUUGGGUGGCGAGUGGCGGACGGGUGAGUAAUGUCUGGGAAACUGCCCGAUGGAGGGGGAUAACUACUGGAAACGGUAGCUAAUACCGCAUAACGUCGCAAGACCAAAGUGGGGGACCUUCGGGCCUCACACCAUCGGAUGUGCCCAGAUGGGAUUAGCUAGUAGGUGGGGUAAUGGCUCACCUAGGCGACGAUCCCUAGCUGGUCUGAGAGGAUGACCAGCCAAACUGGAACUGAGUCACGGUCCAGACUCCUACGGGAGGCAGCAGUGGGGAAUAUUGCACAAUGGGCGCAAGCCUGAUGCAGCCAUGCCGCGUGUAUGAAGAAGGCCUUCGGGUUGUAAAGUACUUUCAGCGGGGAGGAAGGCGGUGAGGUUAAUAACCUUGCCGAUUGACGUUACCCGCAGAAGAAGCACCGGCUAACUCCGUGCCAGCCGCCGCGGUAA
rnacentral:rRNA from 1 species